GUUGAAAGAGAAUUAGGAGAGAGAGGAAUCCGAACACACUUCGGCGGCCUCCCUUAGCGGCGAUGGGUGGUGAACGGGAAGAAAGUGAGAAAGAGAAAGCUAAUGGGGGUUGCGGCGACGCCAUGGCGGCCCUACGGCGGUGUCACGCGUCUUCACCACACCAUGAUCUGGGUCGAGUUCAAUUUUGAGGCACGCAAAAUGUACAUCAAAGUCAUUUGAUGGCGGUACGCGUGCACUUGAGAGGAGUAAACUUAUUUCAAAUGGAACCAAUGCAACCCGAUUUCCGACGGUUCGGAUCCGGUCAUUCUAGCGACGGACGUGAAUCAUUUCGGAUAUUUUCAGAGAGUCACCGUCCGUCAGUUCAUUGUGUUCGUCGGUAGAACCGUCGCUAAACAAACGCCACCUGAUCAACGCCACACCGUCCAACCCGAAGUAAACCCUGAUGAAAAAGCGAGUGGCUCCUCGGGAACCGAAACUGAAGAUACCGUGCUUGGACUGUUGUAUGAUUUGCUUCAAAAAGAAGUGAUUGCUUUGAGGAAAGCUGGUCACGAAAAGGAUCAAAGCAUUAAAGACAAAGAUGACGCCAUCGAGAUGUUAGCAAAGAAAGGAGACACUUUAACCAAGGCUAUGGAAGUUGAAGCUAAAAAGAUGAGACGUGAGGUAGCUGCAAUGGAGAAGGAGGUAGCUGCUAGCGUAUCGACAAAGAACAGGAUAAUCGGGCUAAACGGUUUGCGAACGUCAAGAACACCUCUCAGCUUC